UACGAAGGGGGCUAGCGUUGCUCGGAAUCACUGGGCGUAAAGCGCACGUAGGCGGAUUGUUAAGUCAGGGGUGAAAUCCUGGAGCUCAACUCCAGAACUGCCCUUGAUACUGGCGGUCUCGAGUCCGGGAGAGGUGAGUGGAACUGCGAGUGUAGAGGUGAAAUUCGUAGAUAUUCGCAAGAACACCAAUGGCGAAGGCAGCACUCUGGGACGUGACUGACGCUGAGACGCGAAAGCGUGGGGAGCAAACAGG
rnacentral:rRNA from 1 species